rnacentral:sRNA from 1 species
AGACUGCGUUGUGUUCACGUCUUGACACUUUUGGCGUUUUUCUCUUCCUCAUCAACCAUUCCCAAAUUCACGUCGAUAUCGUUUACCGUUUAUACGUCUUUUAUUCUAUUCUUCUUUCUUGCCUCUCCACCUGUUCUCCAUUCUUUUCGCUCAACCCUGUCUUCCCUCCCGCAUUUUACUAAUUUCCAGGCGCAACUCCCAUCAGCCCAGGAUCAAUUUGGAGACUAUUGCGAGCCCUAAAUAAAUAAUUCUACGAUCUUCUUCUUAUUUAUACCCCUCCCAUCUUACACAUCCUUACUCCGUCGUGGUCCCCGAUCCCCCCGCCCUCGUCAUGAUGAGUUUAUGCAGGCGGGAGAAGACCGUUCAACGCAAACUUGUUCUCCUGUGAGCCCGACACUCCUCUCCGCACCCCCGAUACCUUCGACACUUGUUCAUUACCACCGUCCCGCAUACCUCCCUCUCUAUCACUCUUUCAAACUGCUUUAAAAAAAAAAAAAAAAAAAAAAAAAAAAAAAAGCCUCGUUAAAUGGAUAAUAUUGGCUAAUACUGGAUUGAUGGGUCAAUAGGGGUGACGGCGCAUGCGGGAAAACAUCACUGCUGAAUGUGUUCACAAGAGGGUUCUUCCCUACAGUCUAGUAAGAUGCCAUUCUAUCUGUCCAUUUUCCUAUCUGGCAAUCCCGUCUCCUUAAUGCCGGUGGAGGAAGCAGCAGCAUUGACCAAAGUGAUAUAUAAACCCCUUGUCUGCGAUUGCAGUGAGCCAACUGUCUUUGAAAACUAUGUUCAUGAUAUUUACGUCGAUGGCAUUCAUAUGGAACUGUCUCUAUGGGACACCGCUGGACAAGAAGAAUUCGAUCGUCUCCGUGCGCUAUCAUACGACGACACACAAGUCAUAAUGUUAUGUUUUAGCGUCGAUAGCAAAGACUCCCUGGAGAACGUCGAAUCAAAAUGGAUGGCUGAAAUUGCGGAACAUUGCGCCGGAGCCAAAAUUGUCCUAGUCGCAUUGAAGUGCGACUUGAGAGAGGAGGUGGACGAAAAGGAGGACGAGAAUGCGGAACCACAACCUCAGGAGAAACCAAUCGUCAAGUACGAUAAGGGACUGGAGGUUGCAAAGAGAAUUGGUGCCUUGAGAUAUUUAGAAUGCUCCGCCAUGCGAAAUCGCGGUGUCAACGAAGCCUUCACGGAGGCUGCCAGAGUAGCAUUGACUGUUAAACCUUCGAAGUCGUCCGAUAACGCUGGGAAAUGCACUAUCUUGUGAUGCAUGUGCUUCGACAAAAAACGAGGUCUCAGACACCCCGCUUCUCCUCCGUUUCCCGCACAUACAUUUUUGAUCACUUGCCCUGCCUGUCUACACACUAACGGCUUUUCAUUCAAUCUUAUGUAAAUAUCCCCCAGGCCUUUAUUCUCCUUCCAAAGAAACCUCUAUUUCUUCCAGUCAGUCCUGAUUCAUGGCAGCUACGCUUUUUUUUUUUUCUACUUUUUCAUUCUCGUUUUCCCUUAUCCACCCUGAUGAAUAUGGUGAGAGUGUGUUUCAUUUCAUUGUAUUUUUUUCGCUUUACUUCCCUCACUCUAAUCACCCGCUCUCCGCCUUUGAAGUUCUGAAGUUAUUUUUUUGGCCCCUUUUGUUUCUCUUCAGAUACGUCAUUGUAAUGGAGCAAAAACAUAUCAAGGGGGAGUGAUACCAGUUUGACUUUCCCUCUAUCAAUAUUCGUUUUGUUUCCUCGUGCACCUUGCUUUCCCGCUCCUUUUUAACAGCCAAAAACUACAUUCGAAAUUAUUACUUUAAUUAAUGUUUUGUUUUGUUCGUUUCUAUAUAUUUUGGCUUCUCUGUAUAUACAACAGAGGAACACAUUUUAAUUGUUUACAUUCGUAUUUCUGUAUUUUGAAUUCUCUUGGAAAAUAUUUAUGUAUUUAUUAUCAUGUUAACUCAACCUUCGUUUUACUUUGAUUCAUUUAUUCUCUUUAUAUUCUACACAAAUUUUGUAUCUAAUACUGUUUCUUUCACUUUUUGAAUAAUAAUAAUAAACGAGUUGUUGGCA